rnacentral:rRNA from 1 species
CGUGAGACAGUUCGGUCCCUAUCUACCGUGGGCGCUGGAAAUUUGAGAGGAUCUGCUCCUAGUACGAGAGGACCAGAGUGGACGAACCUCUGGUGUACCGGUUGUGACGCCAGUCGCAUCGCCGGGUAGCUAUGUUCGGAAGGGAUAACCGCUGAAAGCAUCUAAGCGGGAAGCCUACCUCAAGAUAAGAUUUCCCUAGGAAUUUAUUCCUCUAAAGAGCCGUUCGAGACUAGGACGUUGAUAGGUUGGAUGUGGAAGCAUAGUGAUAUGUGAAGCUGACCAAUACUAAUUGCUCGUGAGGCUUGACUAUACAACACCCAAGCAGUUG